rnacentral:rRNA from 1 species
GGGUUGUGAGGUUAAGCGACUAAGCGUACACGGUGGAUGCCCUGGCAGUCAGAGGCGAUGAAGGGCGUGCUAAUCUGCGAUAAGCGCCGGUAAGGUGAUAUGAACCGUUAUAACCGGCGAUACCCGAAUGGGGAAACCCAGUGUGACUCGUCACACUAUCAUUAACUGAAUCCAUAGGUUAAUGAGGCGAACCGGGGGAACUGAAACAUCUAAGUACCCCGAGGAAAAGAAAUCAACCGAGAUUCCCCCAGUAGCGGCGAGCGAACGGGGAGGAGCCCAGAGCCUGAAUCAGCAUGUGUGUUAGUGGAAGCGUCUGGAAAGGCGCGCGAUACAGGGUGACAGCCCCGUACACAAAAGCGCAUGUGCUGUGAGCUCGAUGAGUAGGGCGGGACACGUGGUAUCCUGUCUGAAUAUGGGGGGACCAUCCUCCAAGGCUAAAUACUCCUGACUGACCGAUAGUGAACCAGUACCGUGAGGGAAAGGCGAAAAGAACCCCGGCGAGGGGAGUGAAAAAGAACCUGAAACCGUGUACGUACAAGCAGUGGGAGCACNCUUUGGGUGUGACUGCGUACCUUUUGUAUAAUGGGUCAGCGACUUAUAUUCUGUAGCAAGGUUAACCGAAUAGGGGAGCCGGAGGGAAACCGAGUCUUAACCGGGCGUUAAGUUGCAGGGUAUAGACCCGAAACCCGGUGAUCUAGCCAUGGGCAGGUUGAAGGUUGGGUAACACUAACUGGAGGACCGAACCGACUAAUGUUGAAAAAUUAGCGGAUGACCUGUGGCUGGGGGUGAAAGGCCAAUCAAACCGGGAGAUAGCUGGUUCUCCCCGAAAGCUAUUUAGGUAGCGCCUCGUGAAUUCAUCUCCGGGGGUAGAGCACUGUUUCGGCUAGGGGGCCAUCCCGGCUUACCAACCCGAUGCAAACUGCGAAUACCGGAGAAUGUUAUCACGGGAGACACACGGCGGGUGCUAACGUCCGUCGUGAAGAGGGAAACAACCCAGACCGCCAGCUAAGGUCCCAAAGUCAUGGUUAAGUGGGAAACGAUGUGGGAAGGCCCAGACAGCCAGGAUGUUGGCUUAGAAGCAGCCAUCAUUUAAAGAAAGCGUAAUAGCUCACUGGUCGAGUCGGCCUGCGCGGAAGAUGUAACGGGGCUAAACCAUGCACCGAAGCUGCGGCAGCGACACUGUGUGUUGUUGGGUAGGGGAGCGUUCUGUAAGCCUGCGAAGGUGGCCUGUGAGGGUUGCUGGAGGUAUCAGAAGUGCGAAUGCUGACAUAAGUAACGAUAAAGCGGGUGAAAAGCCCGCUCGCCGGAAGACCAAGGGUUCCUGUCCAACGUUAAUCGGGGCAGGGUGAGUCGACCCCUAAGGCGAGGCCGAAAGGCGUAGUCGAUGGGAAACGGGUUAAUAUUCCCGUACUUGGUGUUACUGCGAAGGGGGGACGGAGAAGGCUAUGUUGGCCGGGCGACGGUUGUCCCGGUUUAAGCGUGUAGGUGUGUGUUCCAGGUAAAUCCGGUUCACUUUAACACUGAGGCGUGACGACGAGGCACUACGGUGCUGAAGCAACAAAUGCCCUGCUUCCAGGAAAAGCCUCUAAGCAUCAGGUAACAUCAAAUCGUACCCCAAACCGACACAGGUGGUCAGGUAGAGAAUACCAAGGCGCUUGAGAGAACUCGGGUGAAGGAACUAGGCAAAAUGGUGCCGUAACUUCGGGAGAAGGCACGCUGACACGUAGGUGAAGUGAUUUACUCAUGGAGCUGAAGUCAGUCGAAGAUACCAGCUGGCUGCAACUGUUUAUUAAAAACACAGCACUGUGCAAACACGAAAGUGGACGUAUACGGUGUGACGCCUGCCCGGUGCCGGAAGGUUAAUUGAUGGGGUCAGCGCAAGCGAAGCUCCUGAUCGAAGCCCCGGUAAACGGCGGCCGUAACUAUAACGGUCCUAAGGUAGCGAAAUUCCUUGUCGGGUAAGUUCCGACCUGCACGAAUGGCGUAAUGAUGGCCAGGCUGUCUCCACCCGAGACUCAGUGAAAUUGAACUCGCUGUGAAGAUGCAGUGUACCCGCGGCAAGACGGAAAGACCCCGUGAACCUUUACUAUAGCUUGACACUGAACAUUGAGCCUUGAUGUGUAGGAUAGGUGGGAGGCUUUGAAGUGUGGACGCCAGUCUGCAUGGAGCCGACCUUGAAAUACCACCCUUUAAUGUUUGAUGUUCUAACGUGGACCCGUUACCCGGGUUGCGGACAGUGUCUGGUGGGUAGUUUGACUGGGGCGGUCUCCUCCUAAAGAGUAACGGAGGAGCACGAAGGUUGGCUAAUCCUGGUCGGACAUCAGGAGGUUAGUGCAAUGGCAUAAGCCAGCUUGACUGCGAGCGUGACGGCGCGAGCAGGUGCGAAAGCAGGUCAUAGUGAUCCGGUGGUUCUGAAUGGAAGGGCCAUCGCUCAACGGAUAAAAGGUACUCCGGGGAUAACAGGCUGAUACCGCCCAAGAGUUCAUAUCGACGGCGGUGUUUGGCACCUCGAUGUCGGCUCAUCACAUCCUGGGGCUGAAGUAGGUCCCAAGGGUAUGGCUGUUCGCCAUUUAAAGUGGUACGCGAGCUGGGUUUAGAACGUCGUGAGACAGUUCGGUCCCUAUCUGCCGUGGGCGCUGGAGAACUGAGGGGGGCUGCUCCUAGUACGAGAGGACCGGAGUGGACGCAUCACUGGUGUUCGGGUUGUCAUGCCAAUGGCACUGCCCGGUAGCUAAAUGCGGAAGAGAUAAGUGCUGAAAGCAUCUAAGCACGAAACUUGCCCCGAGAUGAGUUCUCCCUGAGACUUAGAGUCUCCUGAAGGAACGUUGAAGACGACGACGUUGAUAGGCCGGGUGUGUAAGCGCAGCGAUGCGUUGAGCUAACCGGUACUAAUGAACCGUGAGGCUUAACCUUACAACGCCGAAG